ACAGAGGUCCCAAGCGUUGUUCGGAUUCACUGGGCGUAAAGGGUGCGUAGGUGGUGAAUUAAGUCGGGUGUGAAAUCUCCGGGCUCAACCCGGAGCGUGCGCCCGAAACUGAUUUGCUAGAGGAUAGGAGGGGAGACUGGAAUUCUCGGUGUAGCAGUGAAAUGCGUAGAUAUCGAGAGGAACACCGGUGGCGAAGGCGAGUCUCUGGACUAUUCCUGACACUGAAUCACGAAAGCCGGGGGAGCAAACAGGA
rnacentral:rRNA from 1 species